GAUCCUGGCUCAGGAUGAACGCUAGCUACAGGCUUAACACAUGCAAGUCGAGGGGCAGCAUUUUAGUUUGCUUGCAAACUAAAGAUGGCGACCGGCGCACGGGUGAGUAACACGUAUCCAACCUGCCGAUAACUCAGGGAUAGCCUUUCGAAAGAAAGAUUAAUACCUGAUGGCAUAGGAUUAUCGCAUGAUGAUCCUAUUAAAGAAUUUCGGUUAUCGAUGGGGAUGCGUUCCUA
rnacentral:rRNA from 1 species